rnacentral:rRNA from 1 species
CCUACGGGUGGCAGCAGUGAGGAAUAUUGGUCAAUGGCCGGAAGUCUGAACCAGCCAUGCCGCGUGAAGGUCAGUGCCCUAUGGGCGUUAAACUUCUUUUGUGCGGGAGCAAUAAUGGUCACGUGUGGCCAGACGAGUGUACCGUACGAAUAAGCAUCGGCUAACUCCGUGCCAGCAGCCGCGGUAAUACGGGGGAUGCAAGCGUUAUCCGGAUUUAUUGGGUUUAAAGGGUGCGUAGGCUGGGAGGUAAGUCAGCGGUGAAAUGCCCCCGCGCAAAGGGGUGAAGUGACAUUGAUACUGCAUUGCUGGAGUGCGGAUGAGGUGGGGGGAAGUUGUGGGGUAGCGGUGAAAUGCAUAGAUAUCACACAGAACACCGAUUGCGAAGGCAUCUCACGAAUCCGCGAUUGACGCUGAUGCACGAAAGCGUGGGUAUCAAACAGGAUUAGAUACCCGAGUAGUC